rfam:Pseudomonas sp. M47T1 contig038, whole genome shotgun sequence.
AUACGUGUAGGGUGGAGAUGCACAAUCGUCGGACCGUGUAGCACCGCGUCAUGUCGAGUACUGCCACAGGCGCCUCACGACACGACCCGGGCUUGAUCAGACGCCACGGGCGUCCACGCAGGACAAUUGAUUCCUCCUCCUGACUGAGUGCUUUUGACACCACAGCAAGCAGGAAGCGUGGUCGCGACUUCACCCCCGUUGGGUGGACUCGCUAGACACUGCAAUGGCCCCCGCCACUGCUGACGCACCUGACACCGACCGUGAGAAGUCGUGUGUGCCGAACGCCGUUUCCGGCAGCCCGGAAACCGA